rnacentral:lncRNA from 10 species
CGGGACUUCUGCCAGGGCAUGUAGAUGCACCUCAUGCCUGAUGGAUGCAAAGCUGAAGCAUCUGGCACUAAUGCUCAUUCAUGAUUGGUUGCAGGCUGCUUCUGUAGGGGGUCACCCCCUGGUCCUUCUAGCCCGCCCUGUGCACAGGUUGAGGACACUCCUGUGGCUGGAGAAAGCUGGAUCUGAAGGUUGUAGAAACUCGCAGAAAGAAGCCAUCAAAGUGACUUGGAAAGGAGGGCCUGUCACUAAACACACUUAGCAAAUCGAUGAAGAUCUUGUAGCAACACUUCGCCCUCUGAGAUCCAGUUGCAUCCAUCUGUCCCUUUUGUUAUCAUUUCAUCCAGAAACCAACUGUCUGAAGACUCUUGCAUUUUCAAAAAUGGAUAAAAUGGUUAUCCACUAAAAACAAAAUCCAUGACUGAUGGUAAGUUUCUUUCCCUGGUGUAUACAAACCUCAACUGGAGAUUCCUGGCUGGAUGGACAUGGGGGCUGAGGCUGCUGUAGCCCUCUUUUAUUGCUAGUCUGCCUCCCCACCGUGGCUCAGAGUUGUACACCUGUUCCAAGUAGCUGAGGAUUCAUGGGAUGUUUGCAGCAGCUGAACACUCCUCACAAAUGCUCUGGAAGGAAUGCACAUGUCUCAAGAAGUUAUUGAAUCUUUUUUUUUUUUCAUUUUCUAAGGAAUUCUUCUAAAAAGC